CUCGUAGGCGGCCCACUAAGUCAGAUGUGAAAUCCCCAGGCUCAACCUGGGAACUGCAUCUGAUACUGGUGGGCUUGAAUUCGGGAGAGGGAUGCAGAAUUCCAGGUGUAGCGGUGAAAUGCGUAGAUAUCUGGAGGAAUACCGGUGGCGAAGGCGGCAUCCUGGACCGACAUUGACGCUGAGGAGCGAAAGCGUAGGGGAGACGAAACG
rnacentral:rRNA from 1 species